CUGUGUCACAGCUCUUUUAGAAUUUGUCUAGCACGUUGUCUGUGUUUUUUCUAAGAAAAGCCCCA